GAACGAUUUGUUGUCCUACUCUUGUGAGUUCUUUCUUUUUCUUUUUUUUUAAAGAAGAAUGAGCUCAAGAAAGAGAAGUCUGCACAUGAAAACAUCUCUAGGCUGAGCCGGAAGGGCGAGAGAGGAGAUGUACCUACGAUUCAUCCUUGUAAACAUCAUAAUCCUUGUAACACGGAUUUCAACAGACGGCUAUAAAUAACAUCUGAUGUUUGCACUCAAGAGUUUCAGGCUCUCAGGUGAUGGCCUGGACAAGUGGCCGCCAGCCCUGCCCUACUGGCUUGCAGCCCAGUCACCUAAGCCUUCCUGUUUUCAGAGGUAGUUUCUGCAUCUCACUCGCCAGACCCUCACUCUCCAGACCCUCCCUUGCUGGGCCCCGGGCCUCCCACCCCAGGUGAUCUGGGGGACCUGCCCCUUGGUGGGAGGACACGUGAUGGAGGGGCCACUGGGUUGCCGGUUUCCUUCCUCAGCAACUCACAGGCCAGUGGCCUCGCACAUGUGCUCUCUGGGUUUGUUUUGAUAGCUUGUUUGAAAAACAGUUCCCAUCCACCAACUGCUCAGAUAAUAAUCUUCCAAGUGGCAAGCAACUGGGAUUGUUUUGGUUGCUGUUUACCCUCAGCAGCGUGGCUCAGCUGGAAGAUACGGGACUGGAGGAGUCCCCUUUCUGGCUCUGGUCCACAACCUCUUCUCAUCCUUAUUUUCUACUGGAAGCAGAGAAGGAGUGAGUCAAACCCUAAGGAUGUUCCUUCCACUAUGCAGACUCACAUGAUGGUGAAUCAGGGGUUCUCAGGAUGUUGUUGCCAAGAGACUUCCUCACAGACACUGUGUGCUGCCUUUGUUUUCCUUUCCAAAUGCAUAUGGAGGAAUCUUCCAGAACUGAGGCCCCAUCAGUGAAUUGCACCUGCAGUGUGGUCCUGCACAUUUUUCUGUAACAAGCCCGGGAAUAGAAGCAGGUGAUGUGAUCUAAUGUGCAGCCUCAGGUCGCAGGCGGGCUAUGGUCAGUCCUGCCUUCAAACCAGGUGAAUUGCUUGGCCGCUCUGGGCCUCAUGUCCUCAUCUCUAAAGUGUGGACCGUGAUGCUGCCUAUCUCACAGGAUUUUACUUCCCUGACUAGGGGGUGUACUCAGGCCCCGGCAAUGAAAGCGCUGAGUCCUAAUUUCUGGACCACCAGGGAACUGCAAACAGACUUUUAAGUAUAUAAUCUAUUAUUUUUUAAAAAAUUUAUUUAAAUUUACUAUUAUUUUUAUUGAUAUAUAGAGGCUUUACAAUCUUGUGUUAGUUUCUUCUGUAUAAUCAAGUGCUUCAGCUUUCCAUUAUGGCUUGUUACAGGAUAUUGGUUAUAGUUCCCUGUGCUAUACAGUAGAUCCUUGUUGUUUAUCUAUUUGAUAUAUAGCAGUUUGUAUCUGUUAAUCCCCAACUCCUAAUUUGUCCCUCCCCGACUCCCUUGAUAACCACAAAUCUGUUCUCUACAUCUGUGAUUCUGUGUUUCGUAAACAAGUUUGUUGGUGUCGCUAUAUCUCACGUAUCCUGUAAGUGACAUCAGAUGAUCAUAAUCCAUGAUUGUUGACUGUUGGUUCAGUGCUGUACAGCAAACCCUAGGGUUUGUUCAUCUCACUUGACUGAAACUUCCUGCUUGUCCCUCAGUAACUUCCCUUUCCCCUCUGUUUCCAGUCUCUGUAACCAGCGUUCUACUCUUUGAUACCAUAGGAAUUUGACUUUUUCAUUUCACAUACCUCAUAUAAGUGGAACCAAGGUUUUUUCUGAUUGACUUAUUCACUGAGC